UGGGUGGUACUGACCAUGGCAGGCCAGGAAUUUCAUCACCCAGGUCAAGUCUGAUCCGAGAAGACCUAGCCACAGGCCGAGAGCGCGCAGAAGGUGUCCCAGGACUUCCCAUUUCUCCACCCAAGUGAGACCAGUGUUCUGAAUCGCCUCUGCCGACUCGGCACAGACUAUAUUCGCUUCACCGAGUUCAUUGAGCAGUACACAGGCCAUGUGCAGCAACAGGAUCACCAUCCAUCUCAGCAAGGCCAAGUUCCUGGCUGACCCUCAUCUCCCCAUAUCACACGUCAAUUACUCUUUGGAUCAGUUCCAGCUCCUUUUUCCUUCUGUGACAGUUGUAGUAGAGCAAAUUAAGAGUCAAAAGAUUCAUGGUUGUCAAAUCCUGGAAACAGUCUACAAACACAGCUGCGGUGGUUUGCCUCCUGUUCGAAGUGCACUAGAAAAAAUCCUGGCCGUGUGUCAUGGGGUCAUGUAUAAACAGCUCUCAGCCUGGAUGUUGCACGGUCUCCUCUUGGACCAGCAUGAAGAGUUCUUCAUCAAGCAGGGUCCCUCUUCAGGCAAUAUCAGUGCCCAGCCAGAAGAGGACGAAGAGGAUCUGGGUAUUGGAGGACUGACAGGAAAACAACUAAGAGAACUCCAAGACUUGCGUCUGAUUGAAGAGGAAAACAUGCUGGCCCCUUCUCUGAAGCAGUUUUCCCUGCGGGUGGAGAUUCUGCCAUCCUACAUUCCAGUGAGGGUUGCUGAAAAAAUUCUCUUCGUUGGAGAAUCUGUCCAGAUGUUUGAGAAUCAAAAUGUGAACCUCACUAGAAAAGGAUCCAUUUUGAAGAACCAGGAGGACACAUUUGCAGCAGAGCUGCACCGGCUCAAGCAGCAGCCUCUCUUCAGCCUGGUCGACUUUGAGCAGGUGGUGGAUCGUAUUCGUAGUACUGUAGCUGAGCAUCUCUGGAAGCUGAUGGUGGAAGAGUCAGAUUUACUGGGUCAACUGAAGAUCAUUAAAGACUUUUACCUUUUGGGACGAGGAGAACUGUUUCAGGCCUUCAUUGACACAGCUCAGCACAUGUUGAAGACACCACCUGCCGCAGUCACUGAGCAUGAUGUAAAUGUGGCCUUUCAACAGUCCGCACACAAGGUGCUGCUGGAUGAUGACAACUUGCUCCCUCUGCUGCACUUGACAAUUGAGUAUCAUGGAAAGGAACACAAAGGAGAUGCUACUCAGACAAGAGAAGGCCCUUCUCGAGAAACCUCCCCCCGGGAAGCUCCUGCAUCUGGCUGGGCAGCUCUAGGUCUUUCCUACAAAGUACAGUGGCCUCUACACAUACUCUUCACCCCAGCUGUCCUAGAAAAGUACAAUGUUGUUUUUAAGUAUUUACUGAGUGUGCGCCGGGCCCAGGCUGAACUGCAGCACUGCUGGGCUGUACAAAUGCAGCGCAAGCACCUCAAGUCCAGCCAGACCGACGCCAUCAAGUGGCGGCUACGGAACCACAUGGCCUUCUUAGUGGACAACCUUCAGUACUAUCUGCAGGUAGAUGUUCUGGAGUCUCAGUUCUCACAGUUGCUUCAUCAAAUCAACUCUACCCGAGACUUUGAAAGCAUCCGCCUGGCUCAUGACCACUUCCUCAGCAACUUGCUGGCUCAGUCCUUUAUCUUGCUGAAACCUGUAUUUCACUGCUUGAAUGAAAUCCUAGAUCUCUGUCACAGUUUUUGUUCGCUGGUCAGCCAGAAUCUGGGCCCGCUGGAUGAGCGCGGGGCUGCGCAACUGGGCAUUCUUGUGAAGGGCUUCAGCCGCCAGUCUUCACUCCUGUUCAAGAUUCUCUCCAGUGUUCGCAAUCAUCAAAUCAACUCAGAUUUGGCUCAACUACUCUUACGAUUAGAUUACAACAAAUACUAUACCCAAGCUGGAGGAACUCUGGGCAGUUUUGGGAUGUGAACAUUUCUGGUUCUUAAACUGAAGUCUCACACCACAUUCCCGAGUCUGUAACAGAAGAUUCAAAACAAACAUCUCAAUCUCUAGCAACUCACCAAAUGCCUACAGCCUGGUGAGAGUUCUACCUUUUCUCCUAGAAGCCAUGCAAGCCAUGCAGAAGUACAAAUCCUUCCAUCACUCCCCAGGGGAAGAAAUGUAUGAUUGACAGCCUCCACCCACUCUUAAGGAUCUUCAAAACUGUGAACCUGAAGAAUUUUGCCAGUAAGUUCCAGUUCUUUCAGACUAGUAAAAGGGAAAUUCUGUCUACUGCAUUUAAGAAAAACUAGAGGUCACACUGGAGCUCCAAAUGUCUUAUCUUAAAUCACAGAAAUUGGUAUUUCCCUCAUGGCCCCCAACUACCCCUGACAAUCAUUUAAGGUUAACUUCAACAUGAAGAAAAUAAACAAGAUGCAAACUGGAAAAGAAUACAGUAUUCUGGACUGCUUCUACUCCAGUAUGGUCUUCAUCUCCACAUUUCCUACUACAUACAUCUUUCAUUCCUGCAGCUGCUAAUUGCCCAUAAUGCAGGAGUUGACAAACUGGCCUGCUGUGCAUCUUUUAAGUACAACUAUAUUGAAACUUGGCUUCAUUUACCUGUUGUCUAUGGUGCUUACUCUUCUCACAACAAAGUUCAGUAGUUGUGGACAGAUUGAAUACCCACCAAGGCUAAAAUAAUCACUAUUUUGAUCUUCACAGAAAGAAUGUGUUCUUUACAGAAUGAGAAGACAUUAGCAGGAAUGAUGCUAGAGGGGAGAUGAGGAACAGCUUCAGCAACCCUGCCUACCAUCAUACAGUAAUAGUAAUGACUCCCACUAGUUUAUAGUCAUUCUCUGCUCAUUUUUAGCGAUUCGUCCUUUUCCCUUCAGCUCUGAAAUUACUAGUCUCCUUACGAAUCAGUAGUGGUCCAAAAACUUUAGAGCUCUCCCAACCAACUUUUGGCGCAACUAUUCACCUGGGCUCUCACCUGCUUGCAACUGUGUUUUUCAGAAGUAUGAUAUUUUAGGCAGCCUGGGCUAAAUUUUAACAAGAAUUCCACAGAAGAAAGCUCAUUUCUAAAUUCUUUCUGCUGGCUAUCUCCUAAAAUGAACAAGCCUAUUGCAAACCUC